UAUAGAUGGAUCCGCGCUGCAUUAGCUAGUUGGUAAGGUAACGGCUUACCAAGGCAACGAUGCAUAGCCGACCUGAGAGGGUGAUCGGCCACACUGGAACUGAGACACGGUCCAGACUCCUACGGGAGGCAGCAGUAGGGAAUCUUCCGCAAUGGGCGAAAGCCUGACGGAGCAACGCCGCGUGAGUGAUGAAGGUCUUCGGAUCGUAAAACUCUGUUAUUAGGGAAGAACAUAUGUGUAAGUAACUGUGCACAUCUUGACGGUACCUAAUCAGAAAGCCACGGCUAACUACGUGCCAGCAGCCGCGGUAAUACGUAGGUGGCAAGCGUUAUCCGGAAUUAUUGGGCGUAAAGCGCGCGUAGGCG
rnacentral:rRNA from 1 species